rnacentral:rRNA from 1 species
UACGAAGGGGGCUAGCGUUGCUCGGAAUCACUGGGCGUAAAGCGCACGUAGGCGGCUUGUUAAGUUAGGGGUGAAAUCCUGGAGCUCAACUCCAGAACUGCCUUUGAUACUGGCGAGCUUGAGUUCGGGAGAGGUGAGUGGAACUGCGAGUGUAGAGGUGAAAUUCGUAGAUAUUCGCAAGAACACCAGUGGCGAAGGCGGCUCACUGGCCCGAUACUGACGCUGAGGUGCGAAAGCGUGGGGG